rnacentral:rRNA from 1 species
GAGCACGUAGGUGGGUUUGUAAGUCAGAUGUAAAAGCCAUCUGUUCAACGGAAGAAUUGCAUCUGAAACUGCGAGUCUUGAGUGUAGGAGGGGAGAAUGGAACUUCUGGUGGAGCGGUGAAAUGCGUAGAUAUCAGAAGGAACUCCGGCGGCGAAAGCGAUUCUCUGGCCUAUUACUGACACUCAGUGUGCGAAAGCUAGGGGAGCAAACUGGAUUAGAUACCCCGGUAGUCCUAGCCGUAAAUGAUGGGCACUAAGUAGAGGGGUUUU